AUGCCUCCUCUCAUCUACACAUUACUCGGGCUUCUCCUCCUCUCGUACGCAGCUCCUCGAUGCUCCUCUGCAGGCGACACUCUCAUGGCAGGCCAAACUCUCGCGGCCGUUGGUGCUGGUGCCGGCAAGCUCGUCUCAAGAAAUGGCAAGUACGCGCUCGGCUUCUUCCAACCAGCUACAAUGAUUGCAAGCACCAUGAGUAGUAGUAACUCCAGCUCUAGCUGGUACUUUGGCAUAUGGUUCAAUAAAAUUCCAGUUUUUACUACUGUGUGGGUUGCUAAUAGGGAGGAGCCCAUCGCUCAUCCCAAUAUCAACUCCACACAGCUCAGGAUCUCAAGUGACGGUAAUCUUGUCAUCAUCGUACACCAUGUUGAAUCCCUUGUCUGGUCCACUCACAUCGUCAAUAGGACACAAACCACCACCACCACUACAACCCUUGUUCUCCUAAACAGUGGAAACCUUGUCCUCCUACCCACAAACACUAGCCAAGAGAUGCCGUCGUGGCAGAGCUUCGACCACCCAACAGAUGUUGUGCUUCCUGGCGUCAAGCUUGGCUGGGACAAGGUCACCGGCUUGAGUAACACGAUCAUCUCAAAGAAGAGUCUCAUUAAUCCUGGUCUUGGCUCAUACAGUGUUGGACUAGAAGGUGCCAUGGGAAUGGUCCUCAAGCGCCGCAACAGCCCCUCUGUAGUGUAUUGGCAAUUUGUGUCCUCUACAACGUCAACAUUGGUACCAAUAAUCCGGUCACUGGUAGAUUUGGAUCCUCGGAUUAAAGGUCUGGUUAACCCAACAUAUGUUGAUAACAACCGAGAGGAGUACUACAUGUACACUUCACCGGAUGAAUCACCACCUUUAUUUGUCUCACUAGACACCUCUGGUCAAAUAAAAAUGAUGUUUUGGUCUCAAGCCAAAAAGACCUGGGAAACCAUAGGUGCCAACCCUGAUGGUCGCUGCAUGACGCCUGCUACAUGUGGUCCUUUUGCAGUCUGCAACAACAAUGCACAUAUAUUAUCUGAGUGUAUGGAGGGCUUCUCUCAGAAGUCACCACAGGAUUGGGAGUUUAAUGAUAGAACAGGCGGAUGCAUCAGAAACACACCAUUACAGUACUGCGGCACUAGUGAGAAAAACAUGACAAGUUCAAAAGACAUGUUCCGCCCGAUUGCUCAAGCUACAUUGCCCUACAAGCCCCAACUAAUAGCCCUUGCUUCAACUCAGACAAAAUGCGAAGAAGCUUGUCUUAGCUCUUGCUCUUGCACUGCUUAUUCCUUUAACAAUGACAAAUGCUCUGUCUGGUAUGGGGAAUUACUUAGUGUAAAUAUGAAUGAUGGCAUUGAUUUUACAGCUGAAGAUGUUCUUUACAUUCGCCUUGCCGCCAAAGAUUUAAGUUUUAGAAAAAAUAAAAGAAAACCGCAUGUUGGAGUUGUUACUGCGGGAGCCAUUAUUGGCCUUGGGUUACUAAUGCUCAUGGUGUUGUUAUUGAUUUGGAUGAAGAAAUUCAAGUGGUGUGGUUUUCCUUUAUACGGCAAUCAAGAUAAUGGUGGAGGGAUUAUGGCCUUCAGAUUCACAGAUUUAGUCCGCGCUACUAAAAACUUCUCAGAAAAGCUAGGAGGAGGUGGUUUUGGUUCUGUAUACAAGGGGGUAUUAAAUAACUCAACUAGUAUCGCAGUGAAAAGGCUUGAUGGUGCUUCUCAAGGAGAGAAGCAAUUCAGGGCCGAGGUGAGCUCAGUUGGACUCAUCCAACACAUCAACAUAGUCAAACUGAUUGGCUUCUGCAGCCAAGGUGAUAAAAGGUUACUUGUAUAUGAACACAUGUCAAAUGGGUCUCUGGAUGGCCAUCUGUUUAAGAAGAGCAAUGCUAAUGGUGAUAUCCUGAACUGGAACACUAGAUUUCAAAUAACCCUUGGAAUUGCUAGAGGAUUGUCCUACUUGCAUCAGAGUUGUCGCUAA
rnacentral:rRNA from 1 species